rnacentral:lncRNA from 1 species
UUUUUUUUUUUAAUGAAAUUAAAAAAUAAAAUAAAAAAAUCUUAUCUAAGUCUAAGUGGUUUAAAAUUGUGAACUUGUUGUACAUGUGUCAUCCUACAAUACUCCUCACUAUGGUUAUAUGGCAUAUAUGAUUAAUGUGUUUUUAAAUUUUGGACUUGUUGGAUACUCUUUUUGCAUUUUAUCAUUUUUUAUUAUUAUCUUACCUAUGGAUUUCAUACAAGUAUAAUUUUUUGUAAGGGUCAAUAUGCACUUAUUUACAAGAUAUACAAGAAAUUUACCUAAAUCUGUCUAGGCGCCCCCACCUAGGCGCUACGCGCUAGCCCGCCGCCCAACUAUCGCCUAGCAUUUUUUAGAACCUUGCAUAUAUGUGAGUCAAAAUUGAGAUUUUUCAUCUAUUAGUUAAAAAGAAUACUGCCAAACAGAAGUAUGAAUUAGUCAAGUCCAUGUAGUUGAUAUUGUGGAGUACUGGUGUCCCUAUGAAUGGCUGCUGUUUGACUUUAGAGUUGACGUGGUACGCAGCAGAUUAUACUCGCCUAAUCGCACAUUCCUAAUUACUGAUUAAACAAGUUGUUGCACCAUAUACGCAUGCAAGCAAUAUUCGCAUAAUCAUCAUUCUUUUUAGACAAAGUGCUGCACUAACGGCUAUAGUUUUGGUUCCUUGCUUUGCGGCGUUCAUGUCAUUGAUGAGGAAAACAAGAUCAAAUUGAUGGGGAAGACUAAACAACUCACUAUCAUUUUAUAUCGUUUUGGUUGCGAAUGCUUUACGUUAUUUGUGUGUGUGUAUGUAUAUCACGACUUCUAGUUCAUGUCAUAAUUUCUACGCUAUUUUCUACCGUCCCACGUAUGCGUGUCACCUUUAACAUGAACUACACAAAUGCCUACAUUGUUGAGAUGAUAUUAAAAUCUUUAGAAGUCGUUUGAUGAUAAUUUCGCUUUCAGCUCUUGAUUUUGUGUCUUUUAUUU